rnacentral:rRNA from 1 species
UACAGAGGGGGCAAGCGUUGUUCGGAAUUACUGGGCGUAAAGCGCGUGUAGGCGGCUUGUUAAGUCGGGUGUGAAAGCCCUCAGCUCAACUGAGGAAGGGCGCCCGAAACUGGCGAGCUUGAGUGUCGGAGAGGAUGGCGGAAUACCCCAAGUAGAGGUGAAAUUCGUAGAUAUGGGGUGGAACACCGGUGGCGAAGGCGGCCAUCUGGACGACAACUGACGCUGAGACGCGAAAGCGUGGGGAGCAAACAGG